rnacentral:lncRNA from 1 species
GCUCAGCUUUACUGAAACCAUGGAGUCCUGUUCUUCAGGGACUGAAACCUAACCUGGAACUCAGGUCACCAAAGGAAAUGACCCAGGCCUCAAGGAAUUUUGAAACACUUGCUCAGGCAACAGCUCUCCUGGAGGCUGGCCAGCACAGGUCACACAAUGGCCCGAGCAACAUUCUGUUGCUUUCACAGAGGCCGCCCUCUGGGACUGUGGAGCAGAGUGCCAGCACCAGCGUCAGCAGAGCAGGCUUCCGGGCUGAGGACCGGUGCUGGAGCUAGUUCUGGAAGGGCCAGAUGUCAAAGCUUCGGGGAUACAGACAAGGAAGAUGUACAGCUGUGUAAGGACUAAUUCUUUACUGCUGCAGAGACCAACUGCGUUAACAAUACAGGCUACGAAGACAUAACUCAUGUAAGGAGAGAUUCCUUACUAUGUAGGGCUGACCACCUGGGUGAGGACUGGUGUCUGCAGCAACCAGGAAGGUGAGGAAACAGGAGCCCCCAGGCUAGGAGGGUUAAAAUA